rnacentral:rRNA from 1 species
CACGUAGGGCGCAAGCGUUGUCCGGAAUUAUUGGGCGUAAAGAGCUCGUAGGCGGACUGUCACGUCCGCUGUGAAAAGCUAGGGCUUAACCCUGGCCUUGCAGUGGAUACGGGCAGACUAGAGGUAGGUAGGGGAGAAUGGAAUUCCCGGUGUAGCGGUGAAAUGCGCAGAUAUCGUAAGGAAGACCAGUGGCGAAGGCGGGUCUCUGGACAGUUCCUGACGCUGAGGCACGAAGGCCAGGGGAGCAAACGGG